ACUGUGGUUCGGACUUAUCGAUGGUCCCGGGUUCAAACCCUGCCCGCUCCCAUCCCCCGUCGUCCUGCGGGAGGUUUGGACUAGGAAGCAAUUAUCUUCAACUCUGAAGGAACAUCCGAAAUAAGUAAAACAUUUUACAAACAACAGAACAUCAUCUAUUAAAUUAAUAUUAGCCUAUUAAUACAAGUUUGAAGCCGGAAAAGUUUGAUUUCUAUACGAAAUUCUACCCAAGAGAAUGAUCGUAUUUAUGACAGUCACAAUAUCUUGGGCUUGUGCCUACAUUUACUGCCCCUCUCACAUGUUCAUACGUAUGUAACAUGAGAAUGACUUUCUGACGGAAAACUUCUGACUAUUAUGGGGAAAACAUUUUUUUUUUUUGGUCUACGAAGUUACUAGAUCUAGAUCUAUAUAACAGUUUGAUAACCACUGCCCUGCGUAUUUACCCCGUUUAGAUUUAGCUAAUUAACAAAUUAGCAUCGAAGCUCGUGCUAACCUGGACAGCUUCCGUUUGCCGGUGAUUGUUUAUCGAUAACAUUGAAUGCACCUUGUGCGAGUGUCUGGCUAUAGAAUAUCAACACCAACACAUACUGUCACAUAGUGACAUAGCAGAUGUUCCUUCAGAGUUGAAAUAAAUGAAGAUAAUCUACUUCCUAGGCGAAACCUUUGCAAGAUGACGGGGAUGGCAGUGAACAGUUUUUCAGAUUUCCCUUAGCGGAAAUGCCAAAAGUAAGCUAUCUCUCCACUGUUCACUGGACCUGACAGAGAAUCUGGUAUUGAAAUCACUGAAUCCAAAUCUAGUUGCAGCCAAAGUGAGCGAAAGUAUGAAAAAUGUUAUGAAUCAAGAAAGACCUUCAGUUAAGACCAAGGAAGUGAUUACAGUUAACUCAAGUCUGGACCUGGACACAUUCUCAAAGCUCUUACCUUUCUUGCAAUGUUACUUUGUGAAGAAAACAAACUAAAUGUGGAGGACCAAGCAUCCAUGAAAUCCAGUCAAUACCAGUCUGAAACUACACCCAAAUGCUCAAUGGAAAAAAAAUUCUAAUGGUCAUUUCAAUUUGCUCAACUUUCUUGAUUGCUGUUGCAUUGAUUUGUACGUGGCAUUUUAAUUUACAUUUGGAAAAGAGUAUUCAAUUUCGGUUCAGGCCCCCCAAAUGCUGUUCAAUUUAGUAUUCAAAGCAAUGCUGUGGUCUGCACCUCCAAUGCUGCUGAAGAAAUAGAGAUUGCGAACAGUACAGAAGAAAACCAUGUUUAUGACUCAGUAAUAUAAACAGGAUAUCAGACCUUCCAGCCCAAGACUUCAGAGGACCUAACUGAAACGAUUAAUUCAAAUGCUACAAGUAUUUCUGACCUAAGUUGUUUGAGCUCUAUUUUUUGUUUUUUUGUUUGACCACACCAGAUCCAGCCUGAAACUUCGGAGAGCCUAACUGAAAGCAUCCCAACCAGUCUUGCUGACCAAACUCCCAAGACUUCAGAGGGCCUAACUAAUAACUAUUAAUGGAACCUCCACCCGUAUUGCUGACCCAACUGAAACAGAUCCAGUUUAUAUUAAUAUGGUUUGCCAAACUAUCCAGCCCAAAUCUUCAGAGUGCCUUAUUGAAAGCAUCUAUAAAAUACCUACAAACAAUGCUGUCCGAAUUUUCCAGCCCAAGACUUCAGAGAGUCAAACUGCAACUAUUAGUAGAACCUCUACCUGUGUUGCUGACCAAACUCUUAAUGAUUCCAAAUGCCCAACUGAAACUGAUCCAGUUUAUAUUAAUAUGGCUUGCCAAACUACUGUCAAUGAAAGGAAUAAAUGAAAACAUUUGAGCAGCCUUAAAUAUACUGAAAUUUUAUUCUACAAAAAUGUAACUUCCUUCAGAAUGAAAAAAAACAAGUUUUGGGCAAUUAUAUGGAAAAAAAACAAGUUUGGGACAAUUUGAAAAAUGUCUGAUUCAGGUCUUUUUGAAUGAUUGUUGUGUUUUUUUAAUAUUAAAAUAAUUUUUUUGUGUGUUUUAGAUCUAUAUGUUAUCACUGUAAAAUUGAGUUGUUUAAUUUCAUAUGCAUAAGUCUUGUUAAGUUGUCCAGUAUUUCAUAGAGAUAUUUCCUUUUGAUACCAUCAUAAGCGAUUUAAGUUGAUGUACUUUUCUUGACAUUUUUUGUAGUUUGUAUUUAUGUUAUGAGUGCUGCUUUCAAUCUGUUAGUAUUACUUCUUCCAAAAUUCUUGAUAUUGGUUAGUCUAAUUGUGAAUUCAGGUGUUUUCCUCCAUUUUUUUUAGCUCUGUUGUAAUUUUGGUCCUCUCCUGGUGCUUCUAAUUUUUUAUUUCUGAUGUUUAAAUUAGAAUUGUUGAGUUUAUAGUGUUGGUAGGUUUAUAGUGUUGGUGGCUGUUCAUAUUUUCCUUUGUCUCCAUCUUGUUUUAUUUAGGAACUCCUCAAAGUAUUCAGCCCAUUUGUCAAUGACCCUUCUGUUUUUUUUGUGGCGAGGACACCAUUAUAGUUCUCAUACAUGUGUGAUCUUGCUUGAAAUCCAUUCUUGUUAUCCCUUAUUUUCAUGCCCAUUCCUCUCGCAUCAAGGUUCUCAAUGAGUGCUCUUUGUUGUUUUUUUGAUUGCUUCAUUUUUAUUCUUUCUGACAGAUUUUGUAACCCUUAGCCUUGCUUCUUUGUACUGCUUUCUGGUUUCUUUCUUUAGCAUUAUUUGUCUGUUCAAUAUGCCUGCAUUCUAUAUGUCAGACUCUCCUUUUCUUUUGCUUAAAUCCAACCAUGUCAUCUGCUUUACUUUUAAUAGCACGUUGUUGUUUUUUUAUUGCUCAUUUGUUAUAAUUAGGAUUACCCACAGGCUACGUCUGUUGUUGUGCUUCAACAAUUUAUCUUUUGGUCUGUGAAUUCUAGUAUAUGCUUCAUUUAAUUGGAGUGGCCAGCUUUAAAUUCCUUCCCAUACACACUUCUGGCCUGUGAACUGUUCUCACGUAACAUUUUGACCCAAUAUCCCCCAUCCAAUUUCAAUACUCUUCUAAGAUAUUACUUUGAAUUAGAGCGGCUCACUUAUAUUGAUCUCCCACACACAAACACAUCCUUCUGGCGGUUUUUUUUUUACCACCACCCCAACACACAAAAUAAAAUAUCUAUAUCUGCUUUUUCUUUUUAAAACAUUUUACACACAUAAAACUAAGUUUUUGUCCUAGCUUUGAUAGAAAAAAAAAAGAUUGUUUUCAUAUAAUGUCUACAAAAACAAGUUAGGGGCCACAUACUGCCAUUGAAAUUUACUUUCAAAAGGAGUUUUUGUUUUAAAUGGUGAUUAAAACAGAAAGAAGUAUAAAAUUGUCUUUUUGUUAUAGCAACUUGAAGAUAAAAUUGGGAAUGAAACAUCAUUUUGGGAAGUUUUAAUUGCUGUAGUUUCCAUUUGUGAACUGGCUUAGUUGUUCUAGAGCAGGAUUUCUCAACCUGUGGAUCGCGACCCCCUUGGGUGUCACCUAAGACCAUCGAAAAUAUGGAUUGUUUUUGUCUAUUGUCUAUUCUUUUUUUGCUGUGUGUGUUUGUGUGGGGGGGGGUCGCGGCCGAGUGGGGGAUUCUAAAAAGGGGUCGCCAAGCUUAAAAGGUUGAGAACCGCUGUUCUAGAGACAAGUUAAGUAAUAACAAGUUAAAUUUGUAUUUUUUUUAGUUCACCACAAUUGGGGUACCGUAACUAGUGAAAGGUGAGGGAAUCAGUAAGUGCCCUUAGAAUUAUAGUCUAGAUUGUAAUUGUCCUUUUCCAAUGCUGUUAGAUGUGUCAGGAAUUCUUAAGUUUCUGCAUCAAGUGGGUCUAUCAUGAGUUUUUGAGUAUCACAUUGCUGUGCUACUUUGGUUAUUGUAUAUUUUACUUUUACUCUUUGUCUAAAUUGAGCUUUGGCUACUAGAUGGUCUGCGUCUGUUUCUCUGAAACUUCUUACAUGAAAUACAUCAAAUCUACAUCUUUUACUUAUGAUUAUCCAUAUAUGAUCUAUUUGAUUUUGGUUUUUCCAUCAGGUGAGAUCCAUGUUGCUUUGUACAUUUUCUUAUGCUGGCAUUUAGUGCUACAGAUAGACAUUCCUUUUCCUGAGGCCAAGCCCAGUAAUGUUAGAUCAUUAUUAUUUGCCUCUUCAUAUAAGUUUUCUUUGCCGAUAAUUGGUCUGAAGGCAAAUUCUUUUCCAAUGUUGGCAUUGAAAUCUCCUAGAACUAUUUUGAUGUCCUGCAGUGUUGCCUUGUCAUAAAUUCUUCUAGUCCAUCAUAUAAGGCUUAUUGUGUGAUCAAUGCUUUUUCCUUCAAUGUUUAGGGCGUUUUAUUAUAGCCUAAACAUUUUUUUUAAAUUAACUUUAUAUUAUUCAUAUUUGUUUUAGCUUUCCCAACAAUAUUUUUUUUUAUAUGACUGUUGUUAACCCUGUGCACAACCAGCUGGGGGUGGCCUAUUAAGCUCUCUGGAUAGCUGCCUUUACUUUCAGUUAAGGUGCCAUAAUCUUUGUGGAUCCUUCCUUUUCAUACAGGCAGCAGGUUCGAUUUUGGUAUACCAUAAGUAUUUUAUUUCUUCGAUAUUUGCCAUAUCUGAAGAGCAUUCCCCUAUUUGCCACCUGAGUAAAAGUUUGAUGGGAGAUCAAAGACUCCAGAUGAGAAAAGUUCCAGCAUGAUUUAAUUGUCAUCCUUCAGUUGUGAAACUACUAUAUGGAAAUGAAUCCCUGUGCAAUGGCCGAAACUAUAUCUCCUCAGCAGUUUCCCUCUCCCCAAGCAACUGAUCUAGAUCCAAAGGAACAGCAAGUGUCGAUACAAGAUCAGUGGCCUCACAGGCUUUAUACUAUUGUCUUUCUACUUCUGCUGAUGAAUUUCAGAAUUAUGGCCCUUGAAGGCCUGAUUGUUAAUUUGUUUACCAACAUUGCAUUGCACUAUAUACAAUUAUUUUAUAAGCUUUGGAAGGUGCCUGUUUUCUUCGUAUUCAACUUUUUGUUUUCGCAUAUUAACUUCGAACAUUUACUUUUUAAAAAUUAAUGUAGCCAUGAUAUCUGGACAGUUAUUUUGUAGGGAUACUGUUUGAGUCACAGCUUUUAUGGAAUGUUACUUGCGAGUUGCAUAAUCAAACUAUCGAUGUGAGGAAAUAAAGUACUAAGGUUAUUACCUUCAUGUAAGGCUUGUUAUUUACCUUAAAUUAGGAUGAACUAUUUGUUGUGAUUAAAAUUUUGAAACAG